GUCGCUGUAGUACAGAGGUGAGUAUUCCUGCCUGUCACGCGGGCGACCCAGGUUCGAUCCCCAGCAACGACA
rnacentral:tRNA from 1 species